rnacentral:rRNA from 1 species
UACGAAGGGGGCUAGCGUUGCUCGGAAUCACUGGGCGUAAAGCGCACGUAGGCGGAUUGUUAAGUCAGGGGUGAAAUCCUGGAGCUCAACUCCAGAACUGCCUUUGAUACUGGCGAUCUUGAGUCCGGGAGAGGUGAGUGGAACUGCGAGUGUAGAGGUGAAAUUCGUAGAUAUUGGGAAGAACACCGGUGGCGAAGGCGGCCAUCUGGACCGCAACUGACGCUGAGGCGCGAAAGCGUGGGGAGCAAACAGG